CCUUAGAGAAGUCAAAGAAAUACUUAGAAUACUGGUGAAACCCAUGAUGGGGUGACACAAAACAUGCAUCUCUCCCUUGAGGGGCACUGGCCCCUCAUUGA